AGCGAACGCUGGCGGCAGGCUUAACACACGCAAGUCGAGCGGGCGUAGCAAUACGUCAGCGGCAGACGGGUGAGUAACGCGUGGGAACAUACCUUUUGGUUCGGAACAACACAGGGAAACUUGUGCUAAUACCGGAUAAGCCCUUACGGGGAAAGAUUUAUCGCCGAAAGAUUGGCCCGCGUCUGAUUAGCUAGUUGGUGGGGUAAUGGCCCACCAAGGCGACGAUCAGUAGCUGGUCNGAGAGGAUGAUCAGCCACACUGGGACUGAGACACGGCCCAGACUCCUACGGGAGGCAGCAGUGGGGAAUAUUGGACAAUGGGCGCAAGCCUGAUCCAGCCAUGCCGCGUGAGUGAUGAAGGCCUUAGGGUUGUAAAGCUCUUUCGACGGGGACGAUAAUGACGGUACCCGUAGAAGAAGCCCCGGCUAACUUCGUGCCAGCAG
rnacentral:rRNA from 1 species